rnacentral:rRNA from 1 species
UAAGACGUAGGAGGCGAGCGUUAUCCGGAUUCACUGGGCGUAAAGCGCAUGUAGGCGGUUCGAUAAGUCCGCUGUUAAAGCCCCCGGCUCAACUGGGGGAGGUCAGUGGAGACUAUAGGACUUGAGGGCAACAGAGGCACGUGGAACUCCCGGUGUAGCGGUGGAAUGCGUAGAGAUCGGGAAGAACACCAGUGGCGAAGGCGACGUGCUGGGUUGCGACUGACGCUGAGAUGCGAAAGUGUGGGGAGCAAACGGGAUUAGAUACCCCGGUAGUCCACACUGUAAACGAUGAACCCUAGGUGUGGGGCGGUAAAACGCUCCGUGCCGAAGCCAACGCGUUAAGGGUUCCGCCUGGGGACUAUGAGCGCAAGCUUA